GAUUUAUAAAAGUAAUUGGCGACUAAAAAUUUAGUCGCUAAUGGUGUAAUAUAUAUAUAAUAUAUUUGGUUUCGAUCUGCCAACACAACAGACAGAGGAAACAUUUUCCACUAUUAGAGAGAGAGAGAGAGAGUGAGUGAGAGAGAUGGGGUUGGGGUUGCUAGCUUCCAGAGCCCUGCGUUUCAAAUCUCCAAACCCUAGAUAUGCCAUCGUUCGAACCAUCGUCUCCACAGCUGAGCUCCAGAAGCCAGAAGCUGCUGCUGAAGCCCAGCCUCCGCUAGAUGAUGUCCAAAAUCGAACCCCAGUGGGAGGAGCUAGGGUCCACUUCUCCAAUCUCGGAAGACGCGAUCGAGGUGUUCGUGGAUGGCUAUAAAAAACUCAAAGGGGAUGACCGUUCUACAGGCCUGCGAGGUCGCCGGCGUCGAAAUUCCCAGAUUCUGCUACCACAGCCGCCUCUCCAUUGCCGAAAACUGCCGUACGUGCCUUGUCCAGGUCGAGAAGUCGCCUAAGCCCGUCGCUUCUUGCACCAUGCCCGCUCUUCGAGGUUUUCAUUUAUUUUUUUACGGAUUAGUAAUGCCAUUUGCUUAAUUCAUCUGGGUUUAGUAUUUUGUUGGGUUCAUUAUCUAUGGUCUAUUAUUAUUUUUUUUCUGGGUUCACUUGAUUAGUUCAAAAUUUGGUUUUUGGGUUCUAUAUAUUUAUAUUUUUAAUUUAUUACUAUUUUCAUGGUUAUAUUUUGUUAGGUAGGUGUAUUUACACUGUUAUGUCCUAUCCUGUUAUAUAUUAGAUCAUGAUGGGCUCUAGGAUUAUAGGUUUGUUUGCCUAAAAAGUGUUCGACAAAAAGACACUGUUGGUUUAUCUUAUUUGAUGGGUUGUUACUCUCGAUCUUUUUCAAAUUUCAGAUUUUGUUUAUUCUUUUUCGGUUAAUUUGUUGAUUUUGCGAGAGGGUUAUGAUUAAAUCAGUCUGGGAAUGAUUGUGGGAUUAAUUAGAUGAUGUUCUUUAUGGGAUUGUGCUGAAUUGUUGAUAUCUCAUGAAUCUAUGUCCUCUUAAAUGAGACUGUUGAUCUUCUUUGAUUUUUUUUAAUAAAUUAUUGUGCUCUUAUUAUUUUUGUUGCUCCUCGAAACUCAGCCAUAUGAUCAAUCACAAAUUUGAUGAGUUGAUUGAGGAAAGAUCCUUGUUUGUUGAGGGAGGUAGACAUUGAUAAAUGAGUUUUCUUUUGACAGAUUUCAUCUAUGCGUUUAUCAUAUAACUUCCCUUAUAUUAAUUUUUACGCCAUUGCAUUUGAGGCCUUAAAGUUUUGAGGGAUUUAUAAAAGUAAUUGGUGACUAAAAAAUUUAGAUCAUAAACUCUGAAUUUGGAUAAUUGGUUUAGGUGAUUGUUUGUUUGAUAUGUGGAUUGUUAAAUUUUUUGCCCACCAAGUGUUUGAUUCUAUGCUCAAGUGACAAAUUUAUCAGAAACAAUUGGAACAUGGAGUGUUUGAAUCUGUUUCAAUCUGUUUUCACAAUUGAGCAUGGUCACCAAUAUAUGUACACCAUUGUAACUCUGUUACAGAGUAUUGUGAUUUUAUUGAGAGAUAGACAUUAAUGAAGAUCAUUAGAGAGAUGGACAUUAAUAGCAAAUCAAACCACUGCAUAAUUAGCCAAGCCCCAUGGAGUCAUAAAAGAAGACAAAUUUCUGUAAGGUUCCUUCAAUACAAAAGUGGCCAAAUAGUGAUCAUUUUUUACAACUUCCGUUUCAUUCAUUCUAAUAAGGAUGGGGUUCAUUGCUGAUGAGAGGUUUGAGGAAUCGUAUGCUUAUGAUUCCUUAAUGCCAUUUUUCUUCAAAGAACAGCAAAGAUCAUUCUUUUAUUAACAAUUUGAUUGUGUGGCAUUUGAAUAGUGGACUUUCAUUUUUAAUGCUCUAAUUAUGAUUGGAAAGGUCUACUUAGAGAAAUUUUUUAUUGCAGUGUUUGGUUUAUUUUAAGAUAAUUAAUGUGUUCAAGUGAUGCACACAAUGAGAUUAAGUCUCUUUGGAGGUGAUGCACACAAAUUGGAGGUUCAGUCUCUUAAUUUCUUUCUUAAAUUAUACAUCUUGCUAGAAUAUCAUUUCUUGUAGCAAUGAAGUUGCAUAAAUUGCUGGUUUCUUGAAACAUGUCAAUAUUUUUGUCUCUUAAUUCGUAGUAUCACUCUUUAAUCUUUAUUCAAUCUGGCUGAGCAUGUAACCAAAUGUUGACUCUUAACUGCAACCCUUGUUUGGGGACAUGAACUACAUUACAAUUUUUUGAGUUCUAGAAAAUAUGUACUUAGCAUAUGUUUUAUAAUCUGAUGCAUGUUCAUUUGAGGCCCUUGCAUCUGCUAACUUUCUACUGUUCUGUUUUCUUGUUUUUGACUUUUCCCUUUUUCCAGGAUGCAGCUAGGUACCGUGAUGAACUAAAGGAUAUUGCCCCACACUCUCUCUUGAAAUGUUCAAGUGAUGUAACAACGUUCGUAUGGGACCUUGUUACUGGAAGAUUUUUACAAACUUGAGCUUUUCCACUACCAAUUACUGCAAUAGUUGUUGAUCCAACAGAGAUGAAGUUAUUUUUUGGUGGUAUAGAUUGCUAGUGGAUAUUUCUUUUUUGUAUACGAAGGACAUCAUUUUUGUAUGAUUAUCUGUUUGUAUGGAAUUAUUUUUGGGGUUGGAUUAUAUUUGGUUUGUAUAGAAUUUGAUGUUACAAGACCAAAUUUUUGGAUGGUUAAAAGUGAAAUAGAAA